UGCUACAGCCAUACCACCCUGAAUGCGCCCGAUUUCAUCUGAUCUUGGAAGCUAAGCAGGGUCAGGCCUAACCAGUAGUUGGUUGGGAGGCUGCCUGGUAAUACUGGGUACUGUAGGCU
rnacentral:rRNA from 1 species